rnacentral:rRNA from 2 species
UUACUGCCGGGCAGUGGAUAGCUUGGCUUGGGCAAAAUGCGGAUCGUGGCAAGCUGCGAAAUGCUCGGGGUAGGCGCAGGCAGCCUGUAAUCCCGAGGUAAUCCGUUUAAUACGCGGGGAAUCGAAACAUCCUAUUACCCGCAGGAAGAGAGAACAAUUGUGAUUUGGUAAGUAAGGGCGACUGAAAGCCAAAAAGGGCAACCUGAAUACCCAACUGUAAGGUUGGGAAGAUGUGGGGCCGCCAACAACGCAAGUUGUUGGGCUGUGCUCGCAAGAGCACUUAAGUAACAUCCGCCGCACUAGGGGAAGCUCCUGAAAAGGGGCGCCAAAGAGGGUGAAAGCCCCGUACCCGAAAAGCAGGCGGAGAAAGGCACAAAGAGUAGCGUCCAUUGAGUAUUGGACGCAAAUAUGGCGGUAUCGAUCGCCAACCCUAAACAUACCCCAAGACCGAUAGCGAAGAAGUAGCGCGAGCGAAAGCUGAAAAGGACCCCGAAAGGGGUGUUAAAAGAACUUGAAACUGUCCGGCUACAGUUUGAUGCGGCAUGAAAGCGUUAAUAUCUCCCGAAGCUACCGACCGAAAGGAAGGGUGCGAGGGGGAUUCAGCGGUGUCGCAUCCUCCUUCUAUAAGCAAGGGCCAGGGAGUUUCUACCUGCGGCAAGGCGAGAGCCGGAGCGAAAGCGAGUGCGAAAGCGCGAAACAGUCGUUGGUAGCAGACCCGAAGCUGAUGUGAGCUAUACGUGGAUAGGGCGAAGCCGGCCUGACGGCCGGUGGAGGCCCGCAACCAGUGCUAGUAUAUUCUGCUUGGGUGAUCUACGUAUAGGGGUGAUAGUCCAGUCGAACUCAGCAAUAGCGGGCUCCCCCCGAAGUAUAUCUCAGUAUAGCGCCGCGGGAGUUGUUGCGCAAGGUAGAGCACUGAUCGGAGAGUACGGGCCCGAGAGGGCUCACUUUCUUGUCAAACUCCGAAUUUGCGCAAAACGAAGAACGCGGCAGUAGGCUUCUCUCGGGUAAGCCGAGAGGACUUUACGGGAACAACCGGUACCGCGGUUAAGGUCCCAAAAUUCUGGUUAAGUGUGACUCUCAAGGGGUCUCCAGUCUAAGACAGCUGGAAGGUAGGCUUAGAAGCAGCCAUCCUUCAAACAACGCGUAAUAGCGGACCAGCCGAGAUUGCGGACCCCGAAGAUGCUCGGGGCUAAAUCAGAUACCGAUACCGCGGAAUGGCGCACUGUUAGGUGCGCGCAAUUUGGUAGGGGGGCGAACCGGUCGGGCAGAAGCGCGGGUGUGAACUCGCGUGGACCGGCCGGCUAUGAAAAUCCUGGUAUUAGUAGCAGCAUAUCCAGGCGAGAAUCCUGGACGCCGAAAGUACACGGUUUCCUUGGCCAUGUUCUUCAGCCAAGGGUAAGGCGAUCCUAAGCACGAGGCUAAUUGCCAACUGUGCAAAAGGGAAACCGGUUAAAAUUCCGGUCCCGGAUAGAUAGGCGCGGCAACGCAUGAUGCGUUCCUGACGUUUUGGGGUAGGUGCAGUGGAGGAGACUCCAUUUAAGCAAGAUAAGCCUUCGGAGACUCAUUGUGAGGAGAAGAAGGCUAAAUUUGCGAGCGGCCGCACGGUUGCGCCAAGCCCCGGAGCCCUUGAAAAGGGAACGCGUAACGAUUCUAUCCGACCGUACCUAGAACCAGUACAGGUGAUACUGGCAGAAAAAGCCAAGGCGUGGCAGGACAACUCUCGUAAGGGAACUUGGCAAGUUAGUGGCGUAACUUCGGGAUAAGCCAUGCCUGCGGGCCUUUGCGGGCCUGCAGGUCUCAGUAACAAGGGGAGACCGACUGUUUACCAAAAACACAGGUCAUCGCAGAGCCGAAAGGCUAAGUACGAUGGCCGAUGCCUGCUCACUACUGGUACGUUAAACUCCGGUUCAACGGAGCAAAGCGCCAGCAAAGAGCGGGGGUAAUCGUCAGUUCCAAUUUUAAACAUCAAAUGAGCUUGGUUCCAUAUGCAGAAGUUUGAGGAGUAUUUUAUAGGCGCACUUCAAGAUGCGUACGUCGAUGAAAAGCGCAAUGAGAUUCAGCUGUACCAAAAGAAUAAGGAAUGGCUCGAUUUUAUUAAUGCCAAUCUUAAGAAAGAUUACGGCAUUACUGGAAAGAUUUUCAAAAGAGACGUUUACUUGCUUAGAAAAAGAAGCAAAGCGUUUGUUUUGAAAAUUAAAGAGGCAAAAACUAGAAUGAAUUCUUUUGGCGCGGAUUUCGUCGCAGGGCUUUUUGAUUCGGAAGGUUCUGUUUACCUUUCAACAAAAUCAAAAAUACCCAUCAUUGAUGUAACGCAAUCCGAAAAAGGAUUGGAAUAUCUUAAGUGUGCGCAAAAAAUUCUUAUGGAGAAUGGGAUUGAUUCGAAACUGAAUGGCCCAUAUAAACAUAAGCAUGGAAAACUCCUGCAAUAUCAUCUGCGCAUAUAUGGAAAUAAAAAAUGUGGGAUAUUUUUUAGGUUAAUUCCCAUUUAUUAUAAGAAUAAGUUUGAGAAAUGCUCAUUUUGAACUGACGACCCCACACUCUGACCCUCUUAUUUGGCUCUUGCAAGAAAUUGCCGGAGCUGAUGUGAGAUAGGUAGCGUAAUACCUCGCCGCUUAAUUGGUGGCUUGCAUGAAUGGCAUAACGCGUCUCCCACUGUCCCUACGAGGGACCUGGUGAACCUACUACUCUGUGAGUAUGCAGAGGACUUCUAGGGGGAAACGAAGACCCCGUGGAGUUGGAAACUACUCUCUACCACCGGAAAACUACCGUCUCGGGAGGUUUAUAAACAAGGAGAAACGAAAGGGAAAACAUAUGUUUGAACUUUCUCCCUUGCUUGCCUACGAGACAGGUGUCCAUCUUGGUGACGGAAACUUGACGUACAAUAAAAAAUGGAACCUUUACAGAA